AUUCUCUCAAGGCUAGGGAUGUCAUGUUGUGGUAAAUAUAUAUUUUCACUGCCACUUUACUUAUUUGAGAAUGCUUUUCUUCUCUGCAAAUUAUUUGAAGCAUGUAUUGUGUGGUAAAGUUUUUGAAGAAAACUUGUCUCAUAUUAAUUGCAUUUUUUUUUUGGAAAGUAGGUUUCGUAGUGACAUGGAUGUACUAAAUUGUAGUUUUCACCAUUUUUAAUUGUCUGUAUGUCUAGUCAUUUUGUUGUUCUCUAUAACUAUACUUUGUUAAAUUUGCAAUCCCUGAUUUAAUCUACUUAACCAUGCAUAAAAUUAGGAUUCGAAACUAUUAGGAUUGCAUUGCAAUUGUCUGCAUUGUAUAUGUCUGCAUUGCAUAUAUGCCCUUCUUUAUUUGUCUGCAUUGCAUUCAUUCUCCUUUAAUCUGUCAAAAACAAUAUUUUAGAACGGGAUUGAUGAUAUAGAAAUGUGGCAUGUGGAAGCCAAGGGACUGUUUGGCUUGACUUGUGUUUAUGGUGCAAGUUCAAGCAUAUAUUCAGCUUAACUGCAGCAGGUGCAGCCCCAAAACUGCAACAGCUACAACUUAACGGCUUUCUGAGUCAAUGCUUACCCUUGAUAACAAUGAAGUGGGGAUUUUCUUUCUUUCUUUUUCUUUUCUUUUUUCUUUUACCACCAUUUAGGUAUUUAACUGGGAAUAUGCUGACUGGGCCUAUACCUGGAUGGAACAUAAAGAAAUAAUAAUCUUACUCAUCAGACUGAUUUCCUUAAAUGUAAGUAGUUUUGCACUGAAGAAGCAAAUGCUGGAUGAAAGAAGAUUCUCCAAAAUGCAUCUGAAUUUGCAACGCCUCCUGCAAGCUAACAAGCUAAAGAAGUCAGUGGAGGAUGAAAUUCAUUUUCUCAAGAGAAGGGUUUCAGAACUUGAAAGUGAUCUUGUGUCGAAGUCCACAGAAAGUUACAUCUGCAGUUUCAAGGAAAGAAGAAGCUCUAUCUUCUGCAUUUGCUGAAAUUGACCGUGUGAAGGAAGAAAAUUCUGUAAAAAUGUGAGCAUUAUUGAAUGCAUAUGGAGGGUGUUUACUGUAUUGGAGUGUAUUUGUUUCUUGCACAUGAGAGCACGCCUUAGUUGUAAUUCUUAUGAUUGGUUGAGCAAAGUGAAGUAUUGUUUAUUUAGAAAUGUGAAUGUAGGAUGCAUUGUAUGAUUUGAUUGCUAUUUGUAAUAAAUGCAUUGUUUUUUUUC